GACAGAGGGUGCAAACGUUGUUCGGAAUUACUGGGCGUAAAGCGCGUGUAGGCUGUUCUGCAAGUCGGGUGUGAAAGCCCCGGGCUCAACCUGGGAAGUGCACUCGAAACUGCAGAACUCGAGUCCUGGAGAGGAAGGCGGAAUUCUCGGUGUAGAGGUGAAAUUCGUAGAUAUCGAGAGGAACACCGGUGGCGAAGGCGGCCUUCUGGACAGUGACUGACGCUGAGACGCGAAAGCGUGGGGAGCAAACAGG
rnacentral:rRNA from 1 species